GACGAACGCUGGCGGCGUGCUUAACACAUGCAAGUCGAACGAUGAACCCGGAGCUUGCUCCGGUGGAUUAGUGGCGAACGGGUGAGUAACACGUGAGUAACCUGCCCUUGACUCUGGGAUAACUGCGGGAAACUGUAGCUAAUACCGGAUACGACCCUCGGCGGCAUCGCCAGGGGGUGGAAAGAAUUUCGGUCAAGGAUGGACUCGCGGCCUCUCAGCUAGUUGGUGAAGUAACGGCUCACCAACGCGACGACAGGUAGCCGGCCUGCGAGGGUGAACGGCGAAGCUGGGACUGUGACACGGCACAGACUCCUACGGGAGGCAGCAGUGGGGAAUAUUGCAGAAUGGGCGCAAGCCUGAUGCAGCAACGCCGCGUGAGGGAUGACGGCCUUCGGGUUGUAAACCUCUUUUAGUAGGGAAGAAGCGAAAGUGACGGUACCUGCAGAAAAAGCGCCGGCUAACUACGUGCCAGCCGCCGCGGUAA
rnacentral:rRNA from 1 species